AAAUUGAAGAGUUUGAUCAUGGCUCAGAUUGAACGCUGGCGGCAGGCCUAACACAUGCAAGUCGAACGGUAACAGGAAGCAGCUUGCUGCUUUGCUGACGAGUGGCGGACGGGUGAGUAAUGUCUGGGAAACUGCCUGAUGGAGGGGGAUAACUACUGGAAACGGUGGCUAAUACCGCAUAACGUCGCAAGACCAAAGAGGGGGACCUUCGGGCCUCUUGCCAUCAGAUGUGCCCAGAUGGGAUUAGCUGGUUGGUGAGGUAACGGCUCACCAAGGCGACGAUCCCUAGCUGGUCUGAGAGGAUGACCAGCCACACUGGAACUGAGACACGGUCCAGACUCCUACGGGAGGCAGCAGUGGGGAAUAUUGCACAAUGGGCGCAAGCCUGAUGCAGCCAUGCCGCGUGUAUGAAGAAGGCCUUCGGGUUGUAAAGUACUUUCAGCGGGGAGGAAGGUGUUGCGGUUAAUAACCGCAGCAAUUGACGUUACCCGCAGAAGAAGCACCGGCUAACUCCGUGCCAGCAGCCGCGGUAAUACGGAGGGUGCAAGCGUUAAUCGGAAUUACUGGGCGUAAAGCGCACGCAGGCGGUCUGUCAAGUCGGAUGUGAAAUCCCCGGGCUCAACCUGGGAACUGCAUUCGAAACUGGCAGGCUUGAGUCUUGUAGAGGGGGGUAGAAUUCCAGGUGUAGCGGUGAAAUGCGUAGAGAUCUGGAGGAAUACCGGUGGCGAAGGCGGCCCCCUGGACAAAGACUGACGCUCAGGUGCGAAAGCGUGGGGAGCAAACAGGAUUAGAUACCCUGGUAGUCCACGCCGUAAACGAUGUCUACUUGGAGGUUGUGCCCUUGAGGCGUGGCUUCCGGAGCUAACGCGUUAAGUAGACCGCCUGGGGAGUACGGCCGCAAGGUUAAAACUCAAAUGAAUUGACGGGGGCCCGCACAAGCGGUGGAGCAUGUGGUUUAAUUCGAUGCAACGCGAAGAACC
rnacentral:rRNA from 3 species